rnacentral:rRNA from 1 species
UACAGAGGGUGCGAGCGUUAAUCGGAAUUACUGGGCGUAAAGCGUGCGUAGACGGUUAUUUAAGUCGGGUGUGAAAGCCCCGGGCUCAACCUGGGAAUUGCAUUCGAGACUGAAUAGCUAGGGUACGGUAGAGGGAAGUGGAAUUUCCGGUGUAGCGGUGAAAUGCGUAGAUAUCGGAAGGAACAUCAGUGGCGAAAGCGACUUCCUGGACCAGUACCGACGUCAGGCACGAAAGCGUGGGGAGCAAAC